AUGGAGUGCGCAGACUUUAGAGUUGCGCUCGGCUUCGAGAGAGCCAUUCGACGCGACCGUCCGUACGGCGGGUACCCACGCCUCCCGAGCGAGGGCUCGCCGCAGAUGGCCUUCUUCGACGCGGCCUUCCAGGGCGACCUUCCCCGCCUCAGGGAGCUGGCGAGCGGCAGGGACGCCAAGGGGAUGGCCUGGCUUGCCGAUGUGUGUCUCGUCGGCGCGGGCCCUUUCCAGACCGCGGCACGCUUGGGGAAACUGGACGCCGUCAGGUGCAUGGUGGAGGAGCUGGGCUUCGAUGUCAAUGCUGGCAGCCAAGCCGGUGUAACUGCUUUGGCUGCUGCUGCAGCGGAUGGAAGAAUGCAUGUUAUGAGGUACCUUCUGGACAAGGGGGGCGAUCCGAAUAAGCCAGCCAAUUCAGGCCAUUAUCCUCUUCAGCAUGCUGCAAAACAUGGGCGUGAUGAAGCAGCACAAUUGUUGCUAUCUAGAGGAGCUAGUAUUGAUGUAGCUUAUAUUGGUCUGACACCACUACAUUUCGCUGCUGGCUAUGGGAUGAUUGGUGUCAUGAAAGUUCUGUUGGAGCACCAUGCAGAUCCGAACAAGGUCUCAGAAGAGGGAAGUACUCCGCUGACUGAAGCACUUCAUGGUACCGAUUCAGGAGUACCUGAAUCUACUUCACUGAAGUGUGUCAAGCUGCUUGUGGAGGCAGGCGCAGAUGUAAAUUCUGCUAAUAGUGAAACUCCGUUGGUAAUAGCAAAACGUUAUGGCUUAACUGAUUGUGUCAAGUACCUGUCAAAGGUUAAGCAUGAAAAAAAUACAAAUCUUCAGUUGAAAUCAUAUGCCGAGAAAGCUAUUAAGAGAAAGGACUACCAUGGCGCGUCAAAGUUCUACACCGAGGCGAUUGAGCUGGACCCUAGUGAUGCAACUCUGUACUCAAACAGGAGCCUUUGCUACCUGCAAAUGACUGAAGCAGAUAAGGCUGUGCGCGAUGCUAACACUUGCAUAAAACUGCGGCCCGAAUGGAUCAAAGGUUACUACAGGAAAGGCGCUGCUCUCCUGUCGCUCGAGGACUACAAAGGAGCUAGUGAUGCAUUCAUGGCUGGGCUGCAGGUGGACCCUGAAAAUGUUGAGAUGGAGAAAGCGUUCAUGGAAGCAAUUGAGGGAAUUAAGAAGGACCACUUGGCUGGAAAAGGCUCCAAGCCAUCUGAUUAG
rnacentral:rRNA from 1 species